GCAAGUGACAACCGGUCUCUUUUGUCCUCGCUGUGGUGCGGGGAGCUGGCUAGAGUUUGCUGCCUGAUGGUGAUCGAGUAACAGGGCAAACCGAUCGUGCACUGAAACAUAAAUAUUUGGGUUGCGCCUGUGAAUUGUCUUUAUAAACAUACGCUCUUAACCCGCCCUGAUUCAUUCGUGUUGCAUAUUUAGGUACAUUGAUACCGCAGACGCACCGCUGUUCUUGCACUUUAUUAGGCCAGUUAUUUAGCGUCUCCUGUCUACUCCUGUUACCAUAAGGCGGCAUUCGCAACACCUGAUAGGAAUCUUGGCCAGCAACAUACAUUAGCCCCCCGCAGAUACCACAGCAAGCUUUUAAACAUCCACUACGAUCGGUGCCAGCCCAGCUCCUGCGCCUCUACAUCUCAGUUGCUGGAGUGUAUAGGCAAGUCAAAGCAAGCACUUCCCUGACUUACCGAAGCCUUAAUAUUUAUUACAUCUCCUGUGGAGAUCAUAUUCAAUUUAGCCGUCCGGUAGUUGGUCGCUGCCCCCUGGCUGGGUGAUGCACACAGCUGCUAGCAGUUACCCCAUGGCGUCCCUUUAUGUGGGGGAUUUGCACCCCGAUGUUACCGAGGCCAUGCUCUAUGAGAAGUUCAGCCCUGCGGGACCAGUCUUGUCCAUCCGUGUGUGCAGGGACAUGAUUACCCGCCGCUCUCUGGGCUAUGCCUAUGUCAACUUCCAACAGCCUGCCGAUGCUGAACGUGCUUUGGAUACUAUGAAUUUUGAUGUUAUUAAAGGAAAACCCAUACGUAUUAUGUGGUCUCAGCGGGACCCGUCCUUGAGGAAAUCUGGAGUUGGCAAUGUUUUCAUAAAGAACCUAGACAAAUCAAUUGACAAUAAAGCACUAUAUGACACUUUUUCUGCAUUUGGAAAUAUCCUUUCUUGUAAGGUAGUGUGUGAUGAGAAUGGUUCCAAGGGUUAUGCUUUUGUGCACUUUGAGACUCAGGAUGCUGCAGAUCGAGCCAUAGAAAAGAUGAAUGGCAUGCUGCUCAACGACCGCAAAGUGUUCGUUGGGAGGUUUAAAUGCCGUAGAGAACGAGAAGCAGAGCUUGGAGCCAAAGCCAAGGAGUUCACAAAUGUUUAUAUCAAAAAUUUUGGAGAAGACAUGGAUGAUGAACGGUUAAAGGAGACAUUUAGCAAAUAUGGGAAGACUCUGAGCGUUAAAGUGAUGACUGACCCCAGUGGCAAGUCCAAAGGGUUUGGCUUUGUGAGCUUUGAAAGGCACGAAGAUGCAAAUAAGGCUGUAGAUGACAUGAACGGGAAAGAUGUAAAUGGAAAGAUAAUGUUUGUAGGCAGGGCCCAGAAAAAGGUGGAGCGUCAAGCAGAACUCAAGCGAAGAUUUGAGCAGUUGAAGCAAGAGAGAAUUAGCCGCUACCAGGGAGUCAAUUUAUAUAUAAAAAAUUUGGAUGACACCAUUGAUGAUGAGAAGCUCAGAAAAGAGUUUUCCCCAUUCGGAUCAAUCACAAGUGCUAAGGUGAUGCUAGAGGAGGGCCGCAGCAAAGGUUUUGGAUUUGUCUGUUUUUCCUCACCUGAAGAGGCCACUAAAGCAGUGACUGAGAUGAAUGGACGCAUUGUUGGCUCAAAACCACUAUAUGUAGCUCUUGCUCAGAGAAAAGAAGAACGUAAAGCUCAUCUCACUAACCAGUACAUGCAACGUAUUGCAGGAAUGCGGGCCCUGCCUGCCAAUACUCUUAUCAACCAGUUCCAGCCUGCACCAGGGGGGUACUUUGUGCCAGCUGUUCCACAGACCCAGAGUAGACCUACAUACUAUGCGCCAAACCAUAUGGCUCAGAUACGACCAGGUCCUCGUUGGCAGCAAACUGGACGACCUCAAGGUUUUCAGCCCAUGCCCAACACACUGCGCCAAAGUGGGCCUCGGCAGUCACUACGCCAUAUGCCACCAUCCAAUACUCAGGGUACCCGUGGCAUUCCCAGCGUAACCCAGAGAGUUGGGGUAUCCUCUUCUACCCAAACAAUGGGUCCUAGACCACCAGUCUCUGCUCCUCCACCACGUGCUGUUCCUCCAUACAAGUAUACCCGUUGUCCUCUCCCUGGAGUGCAACCUCUGCAGAGCCAACUUUUCAAGCAAUAACAGCUUUAAGUCAUUUGGGACCCCUCAGCCAGCUGUCCAUGUGCAGGGACAAGAGCCUCUCACGGCCUCCAUGUUGGCUUCUGCUCCACCCCAGGAACAGAAGCAGAUGUUGGGAGAACGUUUAUUUCCUCUUAUCCAAGCCAUGCAUCCGUCAUUGGCGGGUAAAAUUACAGGAAUGCUGCUGGAAAUAGACAACUCAGAACUGUUACAUAUGUUGGAGUCCCCAGAGUCUCUGCGCUCUAAGGUGGAAGAGGCAGUAGCUGUGCUUCAGGCUCAUCAAGCCAAGAAAGAUGCUGCACAGAAAGUGGGAAUUGUCACUGCUACCUCUUGAACCAGGCUGACCUGGAAUAAAGAAGCCAAAAUCAAAUCACAAGAUGUGUGAGGGUUUGGUAAGUGGCUGCCAAGAACCUUUUCCCCUUCACAUAAAGAGUGUCUCCGCAGGAGAUGCUAAUUUGUUAAAAAUGAGGUCUAUGCACUAUGUCGCUUUAUGCUCUUGAGAUGAUAAGCCACAUCUUGGAUGAGCAUCAAUAGGAUCCUUUCCAAGGAAAUCCUGAGAGACUUUUAAGAUUGCAAAGGAUUUUUAUUUUUUGCGGAUUUUGAGUUGACAACAAAUGUAAAACAUUGUUUGAAUGUAACAUCCUAAAGUUGUUUCUCAGUGAAAUAAUAAAACAUUUGUUAAUUGCC